AGGGAACCGCCUGAACUGAAACAUCUAAGUAGGGCGAGGAAGAGACAUCAAACGAGAUUCCGUAAGUAGUGGCGAGCGAACGCGGAAGAGGGCAAACCGAGAGUAGAAAUACUUUCGGGGUACGGACUGCUUUUAAGACUCAAUCUGUUAACCGAACGGCAUGGGAAGGCCGGUCAGAGAGUGUGAGAACCACGUAGGUGAAAACGGAGAGAGCUGCGCAGGAUCCAGAGUACGGCCAGACACGUGAAACCUGGUCGGAAUACGGGGGGACCACCCUCCAACCCUAAAUACUACCCAGUGACCGAUAGCGUAUAGUACUGUGAAGGAAAGGUGAAAAGCACCCCGGGAGGGGAGUGAAAAAGAACCUGAAACCCUGUGCCUACAAGCACCUAGAGCGCGUCAAUGCGUGAUAGGGUACUUUUUGUAGAACGGUCCGGCGAGCGAUUGUAUGCAGCAAGGUUAAGGACUUAAGGUCUGGAGCCGAAGCGAAAGCGAGUUUGAAAAGGGCGUUAAGUUGCAUAUAAUGGGCCCGAAACCGGGUGACCUACCCAUGGUCAGGUUGAAGUGGAAGUAAAAUUCCAUGGAGGACCGAACCGACCUCCGUUGAAAAGGCGGCGGAUGAACUGUGGGUAGCGGAGAAAUUCCAAUCGAACCCGGAGAUAGCUGGUUCUCCCCGAAAUAGUUUUAGGACUAGCCUCAAGUUAGAUACCUGGAGGUAAAGCACUGAAUAGCCUAGCGGCCGAGAGGUUAGCGAAGCUUAUCAAACUCAGAAUGCCAGAGUAUUGAUGCUUGGGAGUCAGACAGUGUCAGAUAAAUGUCAUUGUCAAAAGGGAAACAGCCCAGAUCUACAGCUAAGGUCCCAAAGUCAGGUUAAGUGGAAAACGAUGUGAAGAUACGCAGACAACCAGGAUGUUGGCUCAGAAGCAGCCACUCAUUCAAAGAGUGCGUAAUAGCUCACUGGUCGAGCGUCUUUGCGCGGAGAAUUUAACGGGGCUAAACCUGACACCGAAGCUUAGGCAAUACAGCAAUGUAUUGGGUAGGGGAGCGUUGUAUACGCGGAGAAACAGUAGCGCAAGCGGCUGUGGAGUGUAUAGAAGUGAGAAUGCCGGAAUGAGUAGCGCGAAUGCAGUGAGAAUCUGCAUGGCCGAAAGCCUCAGGUUUCUGGAGGAAGGUUCGUCCGCUCCAGGUUAGUCGGGAGCUAAGGUGAGGCCGGAAGGCGUAGCCGAUGCACAGACGGUAGAGAUUCCGUCACCACCAAAAGAGUUAAGCACAGGGACACAUAUGAAGUCUCAGAGCCGGGUGUUGGUUCCGGUAGAGAUCGAGGGAAGUUAGUACCGAAGUCUGAGAUGGAAGAUGGCGAGAAAAGCUGUGUGUAUUUCUGAGGUGCCCGUACCGCAAACCGACACAGGUAGGUAGGAAGAAGAUUCUAAGGCCAACGGGAGAAGGGUUGUUAAGGAACUCGGCAAAUUGACCCCGUAACUUCGGGAGAAGGGGUGCUCCAGAGAUGGAGCCGCAGAGAAUCGGCCCAAGCAACUGUUUACCAAAAACACAGGUUUGUGCUAAAUCGAAAGAUGACGUAUACGAGCUGACGCCUGCCCGGUGCUGGAAGGUUAAGAGGAGAUGUGCAAGCAUUGAAUCGAAGCCCCAGUGAACGGCGGCCGUAACUAUAACGGUCCUAAGGUAGCGAAAUUCCUUGUCAGGUAAGUUCUGACCCGCAUGAAAGGCGUAAUGAUUUGGGCACUGUCUCAACAGCCCGCCCGGCGAAAUUGUAGUACCGGUGAAGAUGCCGGUUACCCGCGACAAGACGGAAAGACCCCAUGGAGCUUUACUGUAGCCUAAUAUUGGGUUUCGAUGUUGCAUGCACAGGAUAGAUGGGACUCUGGGAAACCAAGGCUUUGGCUUUGGCGGAGAGGCCGUUGGGAUACCAUCCUUGCGAUAUUGGAAUUCUAACCUGCGGCUCUGAAUCGAGUCGGGGGACAUUGUUAGGUGGGCAGUUUGACUGGGGCGGUCGCCUCCUAAAGAGUAACGGAGGCGUUCAAAGGUUCGCUCAGCUUGAACGGAAAUCAAGCAAAAGAGUGCAAACGCAGAAGCGAGCCUAACUGCGAGACUGACGGGUCGAGCAGUAACGAAAGUUGGAGUUAGUGAUCCGGUGGUAUGUGAGUGGAAAUGCCAUCGCUCAACGGAUAAAAGUUACCCUGGGGAUAACAGGCUGAUCUCCCCCAAGAGUCCACAUCGACGGGGAGGUUUGGCACCUCGAUGUCGGCUCAUC
rnacentral:rRNA from 1 species